rnacentral:rRNA from 1 species
AUACGUAGGUGGCGAGCGUUGUCCGGAAUUACUGGGUGUAAAGGGCGCGUAGGCGGGGAUGCAAGUCAGAUGUGAAAUACCGGGGCUUAACUCCGGGGCUGCAUCUGAAACUGUGUUUCUUGAGUGUCGGAGAGGAAAGUGGAAUUCCCAGUGUAGCGGUGAAAUGCGUAGAUAUUGGGAGGAACACCAGUGGCGAAGGCGACUUUCUGGACGACAACUGACGCUGAGGCGCGAAAGCGUGGGUAGCAAACAGGAUUAGAUACCCUGGUAGUCCACGCCGUAAACGAUGGAUACUAGGUGUAGGAGGUAUCGACCCCUUCUGUGCCGGAGUUAACACAAUAAGUAUCCCACCUGGGGAGUACGGCCGCAAGGUUGAA